rnacentral:tRNA from 1 species
GCGGGUGUAGUUUAGUGGUAAAACCUCAGCCUUCCGAGCUGAUGAUGAGGGUUCGAUUCCCUUCACCCGCU